UGGGGAAUCUUGCGCAAUGGGCGAAAGCCUGACGCAGCCAUGCCGCGUGAAUGAUGAAGGUCUUAGGAUUGUAAAAUUCUUUUAGCAGGGACGAUAAUGACGGUACCUGCAGAAAAAGCCCCGGCUAACUUCGUGCCAGCAGCCGCGGUAAUACGAAGGGGGCUAGCGUUGCUCGGAAUUACUGGGCGUAAAGGGAGCGUAGGCGGGUUAUCAAGUUGGAGGUGAAAGCCCAGGGCUCAACCUUGGAAUUGCCUUCAAAACUGAUAGCCUAGAGUAUGAUAGAGGUAAGUGGAACUCCGAGUGUAGAGGUGAAAUUCGUAGAUAUUCGGAAGAACACCAGUGGCGAAGGCGACUUACUGGAUCAUGACUGACGCUGAGGCUCGAAAGCGUGGGGAGCAAACA
rnacentral:rRNA from 1 species